rnacentral:rRNA from 1 species
GAUGAACGCUGCGGCGUGCCUAAUACAUGCAAGUCGAGCGAACAGACGAGGAGCUUGCUCCUCUGACGUUCGCGGCGGACGGGUGAGUAACACGUGGAUAACCUACCUAUAAGACUGGGAUAACUUCGGGAAACCGGAGCUAAUACCGGAUAAUAUAUUGAACCGCAUGGUUCAAUAGUGAAAGACGGUUUUGCUGUCACUUAUAGAUGGAUCCGCGCCGCAUUAGCUAGUUGGUAAGGUAACGGCUUACCAAGGCAACGAUGCGUAGCCGACCUGAGAGGGUGAUCGGCCACACUGGAACUGAGACACGGUCCAGACUCCUACGGGAGGCAGCAGUAGGGAAUCUUCCGCAAUGGGCGAAAGCCUGACGGAGCAACGCCGCGUGAGUGAUGAAGGUCUUCGGAUCGUAAAACUCUGUUAUUAGGGAAGAACAAAUGUGUAAGUAACUAUGCACGUCUUGACGGUACCUAAUCAGAAAGCCACGGCUAACUACGU